AUUGAACGCUGGCGGCAGGCUUAACACAUGCAAGUCGAGCGGAGCGAGGGUGCUUGCACCUUAGCUUAGCGGCGGACGGGUGAGUAAUGCUUAGGAAUCUGCCUAUUAGUGGGGGACAACAUUCCGAAAGGAAUGCUAAUACCGCAUACGCCCUACGGGGGAAAGCAGGGGCUCUUCGGACCUUGCGCUAAUAGACGAGCCUAAGUCGGAUUAGCUAGUUGGUGGGGUAAAGGCCUACCAAGGCGACGAUCUGUAGCGGGUCUGAGAGGAUGAUCCGCCACACUGGGACUGAGACACGGCCCAGAGUCGUACGGGAGGCAGCGGUGGGGAAUAUUGGACAAUGGGCGGAAGCCUGAUCCAGCCAUGCCGCGUGUGUGAAGAAGGCCUUUUGGUUGUAAAGCACUUUAAGCGAGGAGGAGGCUCUUAAGGUUAAUACCCUUGAUGAGUGGACGUUACUCGCAGAAUAAGCACCGGCUAACUCUGUGCCAGCCGCCGCCGUAACAC
rnacentral:rRNA from 1 species